CUUUUUCAGAUUCUGUGUCUCCCUCUCUCUCUGCCCCUGCCCCGCUGGUGCUCUGUCUCUCUCUUUCAGAAAUACGUAAAUGUUAAGAAAAUCAAUAACAUUGUACAAAAUACUGCUUUCUUUCUGAAUGUGCGAACAGUCCCCACGAUAGAAAGGUCGUGUUUCUAAGCAUCCAACUCACGCAUUAAUUGCAAGAAGACUGGGCGGUAGCCCGAGUCCAAGGCUGCUGGCCUCGUGAAGGUGAAAACACACGGUCCCUUUGGGUCUGUGGGACUUGGGAGAAGCCAGAAGAGCAGGAAGGGGACAGUCCAUGUCACAGGUAACGUGAGGUCCCUUGUGCGAUGGCUCUGGCCAGCGGACCCGUCCGCCCCCACCCCUCCUACGAUGGGCACUGGCCACUUGCGAAUGGAUCCCGUGCAUUUAUACUCGCUCGGUUCUGCUGCACCAAGAUGUGUGUUCUUUUCUUUCUACUUGCUGGUUCCUCCGGUUCUUUCUCCUGGAGCUACACGGAAGGCACCGCAGGAUUUUGGGCAAAGGCAGUGUGACUCCAUCGCUGCUAAGUGUCCCAAAUCCAUCAGCCAUCCUGGCUGGCUACGAAUGCUUUGCAUCACGUACGUUACUUGGACGUCAGAGUUGCACUUGGGGCCGGACACCGACUGGGCACAUUCACUAGCAUUUUGAGGUUCGUUAUGAAGUUGCGACACAGACUCACUUGUAGAACAGAGACAAAAAUGCCAUCUCAUGAGGUUGUUCUGAACACAGUCAAGGAGGGGGGUGUGAAGGUGCCGGUGCAUGAGCCGUCGGCAGCUGGGUGGUCGCCUGCCUCCGAGCGGUCCUCUGCUGUCCUCUCCGGACCCAUCCCGGCUGCUCACUGGCUUCUUUCAAAUAAAAUCGGCAAAUCCGAGCCUGUUCUUUGAACGCCGGUCUGGGAGAAGGAGUGCUGGUUUAUUUCGUGGUUUUAUCUGAACUUUUGCCUGUGGAGCCUGAUUGGAUGCAUUUUAAGCAGCCUUCCGUCACGCGAUAUGUAUCACAAUGUGGGCUCCUUGCAUUUGUCACUCGCCCCCAAACCCGAGGUUUUCGUCUAUCUGUGGUAAGACCAGGUUUCCUGGUCCCGGUGGUUGCAAGUGACUUACAAAGCCCGAGAGCAGGAUUUUUGCCCCCUUCUUAGCGGAGCUGCGGGCUUGCUCACAGGCACCCGUCUCACGUUUGCGAGACCUGGUUGAGUCUUGAUUCACCACUGGUUUUAUUGCCUCUCCCCCGAAACUUGUAUGUCAGCUGAAGUUUGGUGGAGCAUAUUUUAUUUGAAAAUUUGAGGCUGAUCUGGCUGCAGUUUCUUUUCUUCAUCGAUCACCAGGGUUGGAUCAGCAUUUAAGGACUGCAAAGCAAGCAUGCCACACCCCUCUCCUUAAAUGUGCUUUCGGCUGAGGGACAUGACCUCCUAGCUGAGAGGAGGCACUUUUUUUUUCAGUCAAGGACAUGCCAUCUCUGUCUUCAUCCAGUCAACCCGUAAAUAUACUAAACAGGGGCAUGGAUGGGCACAGAAUCCUGCCAUACGUACCUUCCUCCAGAGUGAUGAAAUCCAUGCACCUGUUCAGCUGAGUGGGAAUCCGUGUCGUAGGAGCAUCGUGCAUCACACCCUGUGUCGGCCUGCUGCAGGUGCCACGUCCACGUACAACAUAUCACCGUUGUGACACAUUCCCUUUGAAAAUGAAACAGCUAAUAAGUAAAACACGUGAUACCGUUAA